CCCGUUCCAUAACCAAGACCUCUACUUGUACUCAGCCCUGCCUGAUCCACACUGCCAGAUCAUAGCCUCUGCUUCAAGCCAUUUCUGCCUGCAUUUAUCAGUUAUCUUGUUGUUGCCAGUUUUCCCUAUUCUGACACUGUCUCCUGUUCUCUGCAGUCCCGUCUGCUCUGUCUUCGGUCCCUGUCUCCUGUCCCUCGUCUGGUCAGCCCUGCAUCCCUGCCCUGGACCCUUGUUCUACUCUGCUUUGCCCCCACAGAUUCCGCUCCGGACCUGCUCCCCUUGUCCAGCCCAAGCCUCAGCCCCAGAAACCGAGCUCCAUCCACCAUCAUCGAGGAUCUUCUGAUUCCUUAAAUGAACCUCAGAGGAGGCUCCUGGAGGAGCUUAGAGCAUGGAACCACAGGUGUAUCCUCUGUGGAAGUUUUUUACUGGACUGCAACACCCCUUUAAUUGUCUUUAUUGAUUGGUCAGCUGAUCUGACGGGACAGUAUAGUUGUUGUUAUACAGAAGAACAGGAAAACUACCUGUGGAACAGGAAUGACAGCACCUACAGCAGCUUUUCAUAUCUAUUCAUAAAAUAAAAAUUACUGAAACAUGAA